rnacentral:lncRNA from 1 species
UGUGCUUUUUGUCAGUGUAAAUCUGCAUUGAUCACCAAUUUCUACUACUCCAACAGAGGGACUUGGGACCUCAAAUGAUCUUCUCAUCUAUCCACUGAAGUUCUUGAACAAAAUGGGUCUUUUACCUAACAUUCUUGUUGGUUUUCACUCAAAUUUAGGAGAAAUUAAUGGCCGGCCCAUCUGUUGACCAGGCCUUAACUUUUAAUCCUUGUGAACCAAUUUUAUAACAAUCGAUCCAUAGGUAAAUACCC